AGUGACUAGAUUAGCCAUGCAUGUCUAAGUAUAAAUAGUAUACAGUGAAACUGCGAAUGGCUCAUUAAAACAGUUAUAGUUUAUUUGAUAAUUGAAUUCUACAUGGAUAACCGUGGUAAUUCUAGAGCUAAUACAUGCUGUAAAGCCUGACUUCUUGAAGGGCUGUAUUUAUUAGAUAUUAAACCAAUAGUGGCAACACUAUUGUGAUGAUUCAUAAUAACUGAUCGAAGCAAGGCUAGCCUUGCUAAAUCAUUCAAGUUUCUGCCCUAUCAGCUUUAGAUGGUAGUGUAUUGGACUACCAUGGCAGUCACGGGUAACGGGGAAUUAGGGUUCGAUUCCGGAGAGGGAGCCUGAGAAACGGCUACCACUUCUAAGGAAGGCAGCAGGCGCGUAAAUUACCCAAUCCUGAUUCAGGGAGGUAGUGACAAGAAAUAACAACUUGGGUCCUUCGGGAUUACAAGAUUGCAAUGAGAACAAUUUAGACCACUUAACGAGGAUCC
rnacentral:rRNA from 1 species